GAUCCCAGGAGGAUUAGCCUGGCCUGCGAUAUUACUGGGGGGGGCUGUUCACAUGAGCACGUGUUACUAGUUGAACUGAUAUAGUUAGACCAGUAUAAUCACCUGUGCGCGCGCUCUUCUUGUGGACUAAAGUAGCUUUUUUGUUUAGUUUAAAUCCCUUCCGAAACAACAUAACUCGAAUGGGAAAAAGUCUCUUCCACCAGAGACUGGGUGUCUGCCUGAGGCUUUAUUCUGUUGUUGCUAUAUUUAGGCUUGGCAGAAUUUGAUUUUUAUUUUUUUUAUAACUUUGACUGCUAAUAAUUAUGUUUAUUUUAAACAUUUUUUUAAAAUAUUUAAAUUGUCUGACUUCCUUUCCCUGGGACAUUAUGGGUGGUCAGACAAUAAUUACUUAAUGACAGUAGAUCUUGAGAUUCAAAAAGUAAAAGCUUUGUAACUAUUAAAACGCAAUUUGUCAACAUCACAUGUCAAAACAUACUAAGUAAAUAGCCUUACAUGAAACUAAUAAGUUCUCAAGCAGCAGUUCUCUUACUUUUGCCUACAUUUAAAUAUUUAUUUAUAGAAAUAUAUUUUUUGUUUUUAUGGAUACAGUGGAAUUCAUGUUUACUAGCAAAUAGUUUCCAAGCCUAACUAUUGAUUUCAAUUCACACCUUAGCUUACAUGGUAUGACUUUCCUAUGUAGACAAGCCAUUAGUGAAAAGCAGCAAGAAAACAUUAUUUAGGUUAAUCAAGGCUAGAGAAGAGUGUGCAUCUUUCCAGAGGGAUGGAACAAAGCUAUUUAUUAUUACUUAUUUGUGUUACAGCGGUACCUCAGGAUUCCAGCUGAAAUCAGGGCCCCUUUGUCUAGGCGUGGUACAAACAUACAGAAAGAAAGAGUCCCUGCUGAAGACAAAGGGUUGGGGGGAAGUUAUAUGACCUACAAGCAGAGUGAACAAUUUGAUGAUUCACAAAUGUCAUUAGGAAAAAGACCUGGGUAUUACUAUGCACAUCACAGGAGGUGAGAAAGACUGGGACUGGCUGGGCAAGGAGCCUAGGACUGAGAUCGUAGAAGGAGCGGGAGAUAUGGGAAUAUUGAGACACACUGGGGCAAGGACGCUUGUGGGAGACUGAGAUUAUAUGAGGAGGAAUGGAAGAAACAUUUUAAGUCUCUGGCAAAAAGAAGGUGGGAAAAUUGGAAAGGAAGUUAAGAGACAGCACCGCGAGAGGCGCAGGCAGAGUGGACGGGGGAGCAGCAGCAGUCGACUCACCGUGGUGAAGACACCACAAUAAUAGGCCCAAUCCUGAAGACCGUUGAAUUCAGUGGCAUUACUCACAUGAGUGAAGAUUUACAUGAUUGGUUACAAACAUAGGAUUCAAUGUAUUUCAACCCAGAUAUCAAGAUGACCAACAAUUUAUUUUGUAAAAUAUUUUUGUGAGUAGUUUCCCUGUUGUCAGCUCUUGUGAUUUUUAUCAUGAGCCUCAAAAUUUUUGAUGUUUUUCUUAAAGCCAAGAUCCUGGUGUCAGGUGAUUACAAGAGAAUCUCAGCUUUCAUUUAAAAAAUAAAAGUAAGAUUCUGGCUCUCAUGGCUGUGGAGAAAAGCUUGAAAAUGUGAACCCUGAGGGCUAAAAGACAAGGGAAAAGAAUGCCAAAUAUUUUUUCAAUCAUUAUUUUUACACGAAUGUUAUGAUUAUUUUGGGACCUGAUUCAUGAUUUUUGGACAUAUGGGGUUAGCAGUAAUCUAGUUACUUUUUGUCACGGAAAUAAAAAUAAGCAUACAUCUGCUUAGAUUCUUCUUACCAUGAAGACCUAUGAAAGACCCAACAGAUGACAUGAUUAACUUUCUUUAUAUCUCCUUCAUCAAUCUCCUCUCCAAUAUUUCCUCUCUUCCCACCCCCACCCCCCAGCCCUUUGGUUUUUCAUGGUUUCAGUCCCAAAUGAGGCAUAUUACAGGUGUAUCUAAGUUUUGCCUUGAAUAUUUUUUAUACCACAAUGAUGCAUAUGUUACUUUUUGGAUUCUGUCUAGCUAAGUGUUUGUAUCAUUUGGGGCUCUCUGGGAUGCAAACCCAUGUAGAUGGAAAUAAGCAAAGUAAAUGGAUGCUUUAAUCCACUGCAAAUCAGAAGUGUCAAUUUUACACAGAUCUGUUAUCAUAGAUGAGAGAUUUUAAGGCCAGAAGGAGUCAUUGGAUCAUCUAGUUUGAUUUCCUAUAUAUCAGUGGUUCUCAAAGCCAGUCCGCUGCUUGUUCAGGAAAAGCCCCUGGCGGGCCG